rnacentral:rRNA from 1 species
AUGCUCAGCCGAACAGAACCAACUCAUCUCUCUCUCCCUAACUACAGAGCAGGCCGCCGCCGGCUCGAUCUGCCACUUCCGGCAAUCUCCGGCGACACCGCGGACACCCACGAAAUCCCCUCGACUCCCUCUACCAUAUUACCCCAAUUAUUUGAUCUGCCACCGCCAAAAUCGCCGCCACCACUCAAUCCUAGCGCCGCCUGA